GGUUAAGCGACUAAGCGUACACGGUGGAUGCCCUGGCAGUCAGAGGCGAUGAAGGACGUGCUAAUCUGCGAUAAGCGUCGGUAAGGUGAUAUGAACCGUUAUAACCGGCGAUUUCCGAAUGGGGAAACCCAGUGUGAUUCGUCACACUAUCAUUAACUGAAUCCAUAGGUUAAUGAGGCGAACCGGGGGAACUGAAACAUCUAAGUACCCCGAGGAAAAGAAAUCAACCGAGAUUCCCCCAGUAGCGGCGAGCGAACGGGGAGCAGCCCAGAGCCUGAAUCAGUGUGUGUGUUAGUGGAAGCGUCUGGAAAGGCGCGCGAUACAGGGUGACAGCCCCGUACACAAAAAUGCACAUGCUGUGAGCUCGAUGAGUAGGGCGGGACACGUGGUAUCCUGUCUGAAUAUGGGGGGACCAUCCUCCAAGGCUAAAUACUCCUGACUGACCGAUAGUGAACCAGUACCGUGAGGGAAAGGCGAAAAGAACCCCGGCGAGGGGAGUGAAAAAGAACCUGAAACCGUGUACGUACAAGCAGUGGGAGCACAGAGCAAUCUGUGUGACUGCGUACCUUUUGUAUAAUGGGUCAGCGACUUAUAUUCUGUAGCAAGGUUAACCGAAUAGGGGAGCCGAAGGGAAACCGAGUCUUAACUGGGCGUUAAGUUGCAGGGUAUAGACCCGAAACCCGGUGAUCUAGCCAUGGGCAGGUUGAAGGUUGGGUAACACUAACUGGAGGACCGAACCGACUAAUGUUGAAAAAUUAGCGGAUGACUUGUGGCUGGGGGUGAAAGGCCAAUCAAACCGGGAGAUAGCUGGUUCUCCCCGAAAGCUAUUUAGGUAGCGCCUCGUGAAUUCAUCUCCGGGGGUAGAGCACUGUUUCGGCAAGGGGGUCAUCCCGACUUACCAACCCGAUGCAAACUGCGAAUACCGGAGAAUGUUAUCACGGGAGACACACGGCGGGUGCUAACGUCCGUCGUGAAGAGGGAAACAACCCAGACCGCCAGCUAAGGUCCCAAAGUCAUGGUUAAGUGGGAAACGAUGUGGGAAGGCCCAGACAGCCAGGAUGUUGGCUUAGAAGCAGCCAUCAUUUAAAGAAAGCGUAAUAGCUCACUGGUCGAGUCGGCCUGCGCGGAAGAUGUAACGGGGCUAAACCAUGCACCGAAGCUGCGGCAGCGACGCUUAUGCGUUGUUGGGUAGGGGAGCGUUCUGUAAGCCUGUGAAGGUGUACUGUGAGGUAUGCUGGAGGUAUCAGAAGUGCGAAUGCUGACAUAAGUAACGAUAAAGCGGGUGAAAAGCCCGCUCGCCGGAAGACCAAGGGUUCCUGUCCAACGUUAAUCGGGGCAGGGUGAGUCGACCCCUAAGGCGAGGCCGAAAGGCGUAGUCGAUGGGAAACAGGUUAAUAUUCCUGUACUUGGUGUUACUGCGAAGGGGGGACGGAGAAGGCUAUGUUGGCCGGGCGACGGUUGUCCCGGUUUAAGCGUGUAGGCUGGUUUUCCAGGCAAAUCCGGAAAAUCAAGGCUGAGGCGUGAUGACGAGGCACUACGGUGCUGAAGCAACAAAUGCCCUGCUUCCAGGAAAAGCCUCUAAGCAUCAGGUAACAUCAAAUCGUACCCCAAACCGACACAGGUGGUCAGGUAGAGAAUACCAAGGCGCUUGAGAGAACUCGGGUGAAGGAACUAGGCAAAAUGGUGCCGUAACUUCGGGAGAAGGCACGCUGAUAUGUAGGUGAAGCGACUUGCUCGUGGAGCUGAAAUCAGUCGAAGAUACCAGCUGGCUGCAACUGUUUAUUAAAAACACAGCACUGUGCAAACACGAAAGUGGACGUAUACGGUGUGACGCCUGCCCGGUGCCGGAAGGUUAAUUGAUGGGGUCAGCGCAAGCGAAGCUCUUGAUCGAAGCCCCGGUAAACGGCGGCCGUAACUAUAACGGUCCUAAGGUAGCGAAAUUCCUUGUCGGGUAAGUUCCGACCUGCACGAAUGGCGUAAUGAUGGCCAGGCUGUCUCCACCCGAGACUCAGUGAAAUUGAACUCGCUGUGAAGAUGCAGUGUACCCGCGGCAAGACGGAAAGACCCCGUGAACCUUUACUAUAGCUUGACACUGAACAUUGAGCCUUGAUGUGUAGGAUAGGUGGGAGGCUUUGAAGUGUGGACGCCAGUCUGCAUGGAGCCGACCUUGAAAUACCACCCUUUAAUGUUUGAUGUUCUAACGUGGACCCGUAAUCCGGGUUGCGGACAGUGUCUGGUGGGUAGUUUGACUGGGGCGGUCUCCUCCUAAAGAGUAACGGAGGAGCACGAAGGUUGGCUAAUCCUGGUCGGACAUCAGGAGGUUAGUGCAAUGGCAUAAGCCAGCUUGACUGCGAGCGUGACGGCGCGAGCAGGUGCGAAAGCAGGUCAUAGUGAUCCGGUGGUUCUGAAUGGAAGGGCCAUCGCUCAACGGAUAAAAGGUACUCCGGGGAUAACAGGCUGAUACCGCCCAAGAGUUCAUAUCGACGGCGGUGUUUGGCACCUCGAUGUCGGCUCAUCACAUCCUGGGGCUGAAGUAGGUCCCAAGGGUAUGGCUGUUCGCCAUUUAAAGUGGUACGCGAGCUGGGUUUAGAACGUCGUGAGACAGUUCGGUCCCUAUCUGCCGUGGGCGCUGGAGAACUGAGGGGGGCUGCUCCUAGUACGAGAGGACCGGAGUGGACGCAUCACUGGUGUUCGGGUUGUCAUGCCAAUGGCACUGCCCGGUAGCUAAAUGCGGAAGAGAUAAGUGCUGAAAGCAUCUAAGCACGAAACUUGCCCCGAGAUGAGUUCUCCCUGACCCUUUAAGGGUCCUGAAGGAACGUUGAAGACGACGACGUUGAUAGGCCGGGUGUGUAAGCGCAGCGAUGCGUUGAGCUAACCGGUACUAAUGAACCGUGAGGCUUAACCUU
rnacentral:rRNA from 1 species